GAUGAAGAACUUAGCGAAAUGCGAUAAGUAAUGUGAAUUGCAGAAUUCAGUGAAUCAUCGAAUCUUUGAACGCACAUUGCGCCCCCUGGUAUUCCGGGGGGCAUGCCUGUUCGAGCGUCAUUUCACCACUCAAGCCUCGCUUGGUAUUGGGCAACGCGGUCCGCCGCGUGCCUCAAAUCGUCCGGCUGGGUCUUCUGUCCCCUAAGCGUUGUGGAAACUAUUCGCUAAAGGGUGUUCGGGAGGCUACGCCGUAAAACAACCCCAUUUCUAAGGUUGACCUCGGAUCAGGUAGGGAUACCCGCUGAACUUAAGCAUAUCAAUAAGCGGAGGA
rnacentral:misc_RNA from 1 species